rnacentral:rRNA from 1 species
ACGUACACUCCUACGGGAGGCAGCAGUGGGGAAUAUUGGACAAUGGGCGCAAGCCUGAUCCAGCCAUGCCGCGUGAGUGAUGAAGGCCCUAGGGUUGUAAAGCUCUUUCACCGGAGAAGAUAAUGACGGUAUCCGGAGAAGAAGCCCCGGCUAACUUCGUGCCAGCAGCCGCGGUAAUACGAAGGGGGCUAGCGUUGUUCGGAAUUACUGGGCGUAAAGCGCACGUAGGCGGAUCGAUCAGUCAGGGGUGAAAUCCCAGGGCUCAACCCUGGAACUGCCUUUGAUACUGUCGAUCUGGAGUAUGGAAGAGGUGAGUGGAAUUCCGAGUGUAGAGGUGAAAUUCGUAGAUAUUCGGAGGAACACCAGUGGCGAAGGCGGCUCACUGGUCCAUUACUGACGCUGAGGUGCGAAAGCGUGGGGAGCAAACAGGAUUAGAAACCCCGGUAGUCCCA